AUCACGUGCAAGCGGUGUGGACAGCCUGCAUUUCACUCCUUUAACCUGUUCAGCUCCUGCAAGGUGAAAAACAGCUCAGUAUUUUUGCAUCAGGACUUCAGUUUUUCAACAGAUCAUCUUCCUGCUGGGGUCUUGCAUCACUAUAGGAGGAUAGGAGCUGCUGGCUGAAAACAGGGAGAGCUCAAGCACACAACAGGAGUCAGUUGCAUCAGGUAUGAAGAAGUUACCUUGGUUCAAAGUCUCUUUGAACAAAAAAUGAGGAUCAAAGGAGAGCAAAAGGCAAAGAUGAAAACAGGAACAAUUCAGCGGAAAUGCAGAGAAGGGCCUUUCGCUAAAGGCAAAAAAAAUAAAUGAAACAAAACCCACUGGACGUGAACUCCAGUGCCCCUGAAUGAAAGCCCAUCCCUAACUCAGGAGCCUGAGAAACCAAACUAUGAAAAAGUAGCUGUGACAACACAGAGCAGUCAGAUUCAUUGUGAACUUUUCUUUCAUUGACCACACUCAAGGGAAUCCAAGGAAAAUGGAACAAGUGUGGCUGGAGAAAAUUUAAAAAAUUGUUCUAUGGCAAAGUAGAGACCUGGAAACGAAAGAGAGAUUUGGGAAGCCACUGCGGUAACUGAGUCCAAGGAGUGAUUUCAGUGAAAUGAACUGGGAACCCUGCCUCAUUAGAAGUAAUGAUAUGUUCAGUUCUCCUGAAGCUGUUUUCAAAUCAUGCUCUAACAGUGCUGCAUUUGCACUGUUUCAAAUUUGUGCUGAAGACAGUUAAUUCACAUAGAUGGAGAAGGCCAGAUGGAUGGCUUGACCUUGGAACUUGGCCUGGAAGGUAUUCUUAGUCUAAGCAAGAAAAGCACUGUUCAUUUCGCAUAGCAAAGCCUGAGAAGAGGGCAUGAGAAACCCAGGGAUGCACUGGUGACCUGCUUGUAUUUUCUGUUCACUUAAAGCCCCCUCGAGCUUCAAAUUGAGUCAUUUAUCCACUUUCAAAAAGGAUGCCAAAAGCCUCAUGGGGGAACUAAAAUCUGACCUAGUACCUCUCCCAACAAGUUGCUGCAUGGACUGAGAAGUCAGCAACAACGGAACAAGCUUCAGGCCAAACCUUCCCAAGACUGGUAGUGGUUGAGGCCCAGCCUUGCAGAAUGUUCAGCCUUCCACUGAGGAUUGGCCUUCCCCACCUGCCUCCAUAAAGAGCUCAACUCACAAGUUCUAUUUUGCUUCCAAUAUUCUCCCUCAUCCCACUGGGCAGGGAGCGAGUGAAUGGCUGCAUGCUGUUUAGCUGCCUGCCACAACACCAGCCCAAGACCCUUUCACCUUCAGUGAAGCUCAAAUGCAGCAAGGAGAACCUGCCCCUGGAGGCUGCUAAACCUGCUGACUGCUUCCCACACAGUGCAGUAUUUCCUGCAUUGUAGCUCAGCGGUGACAGCAUCUGGCUUGUCUCCUGGAAGGUGGGAGGUAGCUGUCACGUAGAUGGCUGUUACCGAAGCUGCUAUCCUGAGAGGUGCUGUUGGCACAGAUAUGGAAGAUAUCAAUGAGCAAUGAUCCCCCUCACCUUUCAGUCUCUGUGCUGGAUUAUUCUAUUGAAUAACCUGCUCCAGUCGAUGAAUUCAAGCAUGAACUGAGUCACCAAGUAGCUUCACUGCAGUUAGACAUAUCCACAUGCUGCUUUGAAAUCCUUUUUAAGCCCAGAUAAACCCCUCACACAUGAAUUUUGCAGGUUUUCUUUUCUUUAUAAGCAGUAUUUUAAAUGCUACAGACUACCCCCAGAUUGGCAGACCACCUGCUUUCCUGCAAGGAUUCAGAGUAAAUCCCCAAGCGUUUGCUGGUCCUGGGUGCCAGAAGGACAGCAGAGCUUUCCAAAGGGAAAAAGAAAUAGCUGCAAGGCACCUAGGUACCACAGUUGAAAAAGCAUCAUAAGAAGUCAGAGAAGGCUGUUAAGGAGUGCAGCACAGGAGCUGUGAUGCGGCAGUUCUCACAAGGGACAGCCCAAUCCCUCUUCACUCCCCAUUGCUCUGCUGCCAGUGCCUGCCCUAUGCAAGAGGGGCUCAGUCCCUCCCACCUACUACUGGGGCCCCAUGUGCCAGUGUUUAAGCAGCAGACCCGACACCUGGGGUGACUCCCAGAGGACCAGCACUUAGUGGUUUAAGAGGAAAACUACCAGAGUGGGAACUCGGCUGACCUCACAUCCAUCCCAAGCAAGAGCCCUCUGACCUGCUGACAAGUGACACACCAGAAAAUGUGGGAACCUUCUCUUCUGCCUUCCCAGUCCAGCAUGAAUAAAACUAAAAGCCAGAA